AUUUCAACCGGAAGCUGGGAGCCAGUACUGGGAGGAUGGGCAACCAUCACUGCAGUCAGGAAACAGAAGAGUUGACUAACCAGCCAUUUCACUUGUUAAGACAUGAAUGAUGGUGAAAGCUGGUAUUAAAUACUGUUCAGCAGUGUCAACAGUCCUCCUUUUGUGAGCUACAACAAAACCUCAUCAGCUCUUACUGAGGAGUUUGCAUCUGGAGCUGUACGCAGUAAUCCAACAUUGCAUCAAACUUGCAAGAAAAGACAAUUUGGCUUGCCUUGAAAAUUCAAGUCAAGGUUAUAUUGUACUUGGGCAUUUCAAGAGACAGAACAAAAGCAUAAAAGCACACAGUGCCAAGAUUGAGCAAGAGUAUGCAGUGCCCUUUGUUGAAUCUGACCUCAGCCAGAGCCAUGGUUCUGGGAACCUGGUUUAUUUGUUCGAUGAAAAAGGGAAAGAUCAAGAAAGGAAAUUGCUCAAUGCUAAAACAGUGAAUAAAUGAAGAUCUCCAUGAAGCCCAAGCCAACAAGGUCAAGUUCCCUCAUCCCUACACAACACAAAGUUCUUAUCUCCUGUGGGGUCAUCACAGUCAGAGUUCACUUAAUGAAACAGACUCCAAACUCAUUUCAAUUGUACCAAUUAUAGACACGACCAAAGCAAUGAUGCUUAUGGGUUAAAGGAAAACAUUCGGGCUCUAAUACCGAUCAAACUAAAGCUGGCCCGUUGGAGAGGUGGCUUAGUGGUUAAAAGCAGUUAUUGCACAUGCAAAGAGGCUGGAUUUGGCUCCCAGCACCCUCAUGGUUGUUCACAACCACCUGUCACUCCAGUUCUAGGGAAUCCAGUGCUCUGGGUGCACAUGAACUAUGCAGACACACUAUUUAUUUCUUAAAUCUUAAUCCAAGCAAGCCUUGAAUGAAACUGGGAAUAACUACCACCCUGACAGAUAAUGUGAGUAUUCAAUGCUACAGCAUCAUGGAGUGUUCUGUAAGGUGUUGGUAACUGGAAAGUGCUCAGGGAAUCUUCAUAGCCCCUCCCCACCCACCAGAACUAGAUUGGUGAUUGGCGGCUCUCUCUAUCUCUUUUAAAAUCUUUUUGUUUCUAGGAUUUUUCUUCCCUUUUUUUAAUAGAGAAAAUAUUGCUGAAGCAUGAACUCUCUUUCUCUCAUUCUGUACAGAGACGUGAUCUUUGUCAGUCUUAGAAAACAGCUACUUAGAACUGCUGCUGUCAAGAGGUCUGUGCCGUUGCUUGGAAACAGCUUUUGUUUGUCCAGGAAAGAACCUUGGCUGAGUUCAAGGGACUUUGGCUACUGUCUUUUCUCAAUGGCUUCAAGACGCCCAGUGAAUUAAAAGUAAGAGAUUUGAGAGGGGUAGAAAGAGA